rnacentral:rRNA from 1 species
UCGGACGGGUGAGUAACGCGUGAGGAUCUGCCUACAGGAUGGGGACAACAGCGGGAAACUGCUGCUAAAACCCGAUGUGCCGAGAGGUGAAAUAUUAAUAGCCUGUAGAUGAGCUCGCGUCUGAUUAGCUAGUUGGUGAGGUAAAGGCUUACCAAGGCGACGAUCAGUAGCUGGUCUGAGAGGACGAUCAGCCACACUGGGACUGAGACACGGCCCAGACUCUUACGGGAGGCAGCAGUGGGGAAUUUUCCGCAAUGGGCGAGAGCCUGACGGAGCAACGCCGCGUGAGGGAGGAAGGCCUGUGGGUUGUAAACCUCUUUUCUCAGGGAAGAAGUUCUGACGGUACCUGAGGAAUCAGCAUCGGCUAACUCCGUGCCAGCAGCCGCGGUAAGACGGAGGAUGCAAGCGUUAUCCGGAAUUAUUGGGCGUAAAGCGUCCGUAGGCGGUACAGAAAGUCUGCUGUUAAAGCUCACAGCUCAACUGUGAAUGGGCAGUGGAAACUUCUGAACUAGAGAGUGGUAGGGGUAGAGGGAAUUCCUAGUGUAGCGGUGAAAUGCGUAGAUAUUAGGAAGAACACCAGUGGCGAAGGCGCUCUACUGG